CAAUGUCACUUUUGACACAAAUCAGGUACUUUGGCAAAUUGCCCAAGAAGUUAGACAAAAGGUUAGAACGUAUGACAUCUUGGUCUACUUCCCUACAGUGGUUUAGACCUUGAGUCUUCUUGGAUAUGCUUCUUGGACAAGCUUGGCACACCUGUAUUUGAGGAGUUUCUCCCAUUGUUCUCUGGAGAUUCUCUCAUGCUAUGUCAGGUUGGAUAGGAAGUGUUGCUGCACAGCUAUUUUUAGGUCUCUCCAGAGAUGUUUGAUCGGGUUCAAGUCCGGGCUCUGGCUGGGCCACUCAAAGAGAUUCAGAGACUUGUCCCAAAGCCACUCCUGUGUUGUCUUGGCUGGGUGCUUAGGGUCGUUGUCCUGUUGGAAGGUGAACCUUCGCUCCAGUCUGAGGUCCUGAGGGCUCUGGAGCAGGUUUUCAUCAAGGAUUUCUCUGUACUUUGCACCGUUCAUCUUUGCCUUGAUCCUGACUAGUUUCCCAGUCCUUGCCACUGAAAAAAAUCCCCACAGCAUUAUACUGCCACCACCAUGCUUCACCGUAGGGAUGAUUCCAGGUUUCCUCCAGAUGUAACGCUUGGCAUUCAGGCCAAAGAGUUCAAUGGUUUCAUCAGACCAGAGAAUCUUAUUUCCUAUGGUCUGAGAGUCUUUAGGUGCCUUUUGGCAAACUCCAAGCAGGCUGUCAUGUGCAUUUUACUGAAGAGUGGCUUCUGUCUGGCCACUCUACCAUAAAGGCCUGAUUGGUGGAGUGCUGCAGAGAUGGUUGUCCUUCUAGAAGGUUCUCCAAUCUCCACAGAGGAACUCUAGAGCUCUGUCAGAGUGAACAUCAGGUUCUUGGUCACCUCCCUGACCAAAGUCCUUCCCCCCCCAAUUGCUCAGUUUGGCCUGGUGGCCUACUCUAGGAAGAGUCUUGGUGGUUCCAAACUUCUUCCGCUUAAGAAUGAUGGAGGCCACAGUGUCCUUGGGGACCUUCAAUGCUGCAUACAUUUUAUUGGGCACGUGCACUGAAUACAACAGGUGUAGAUUAUACUGUGAAAUGCUUACUUACGAGCAUGAUCCCAACAAUGCAGAGAUAAAAAGUAAGAAAAAUAUUUGCAAAAUUAAAAGGAGAUAGUAACACAAUAAAAAUAAUAACGUGGCUAUAAUGUGCAGGAGUACGAGGUAGUUGAGGUAAUGGAGUUAAUACAGUAUAUUCAUGUACAUAUGGUAAAUGUGAAUAGGCAAUUGGGAAUAUAUAAUGAACAGAGUAGCAGCAGCAUAUGUGAGGUCUGAAAGUGUGUCUAUAUGUAAGUGUGUGCCGUCAAUAUGCAUGUGUGUGUGUGUGUGUGUGUGUGUGUGUGUGUGUGUGUGUGUGUGUGUGUGUGUGUGUGUGUGUGUGUGUGUGUGUGUGUGUGUGUGUGUGUGUGUGUGUGUGUAAAGUCAAGUGAGUGUGCAUAGAGUCAGUGCAAGAGAGACAGUGCAAAAAAAAUUGAUAAAUAAAUACAUAAUAAAGGGGGUCAAUGCCAAUAGUCCAGGUAGCCAUUUGAUUAAUGUGGUGAUUUGGUGUAGCAGGCCAGUGGGAAAGUCACCAACCCAAUCAGUCAUGAUCAACAAAUUGAGAAAUACAUGAUAUUGGGCAGACAGACACAGUUCCCGC
rnacentral:lncRNA from 1 species